rnacentral:rRNA from 1 species
UACUAUAGCUUGACACUGAACAUUGAGCCUUGAUGUGUAGGAUAGGUGGGAGGCUUUGAAGUGUGGACGCCAGUCUGCAUGGAGCCGACCUUGAAAUACCACCCUUUAAUGUUUGAUGUUCUAACGUGGACCCGUAAUCCGGGUUGCGGACAGUGUCUGGUGGGUAGUUUGACUGGGGCGGUCUCCUCCUAAAGAGUAACGGAGGAGCACGAAGGUUGGCUAAUCCUGGUCGGACAUCAGGAGGUUAGUGCAAUGGCAUAAGCCAGCUUGACUGCGAGCGUGACGGCGCGAGCAGGUGCGAAAGCAGGUCAUAGUGAUCCGGUGGUUCUGAAUGGAAGGGCCAUCGCUCAACGGAUAAAAGGUACUCCGGGGAUAACAGGCUGAUACCGCCCAAGAGUUCAUAUCGACGGCGGUGUUUGGCACCUCGAUGUCGGCUCAUCACAUCCUGGGGCUGAAGUAGGUCCCAAGGGUAUGGCUGUUCGCCAUUUAAAGUGGUACGCGAGCUGGGUUUAGAACGUCGUGAGACAGUUCGGUCCCUAUCUGCCGUGGGCGCUGGAGAACUGAGGGGGGCUGCUCCUAGUACGAGAGGACCGGAGUGGACGCAUCACUGGUGUUCGGGUUGUCAUGCCAAUGGCACUGCCCGGUAGCUAAAUGCGGAAGAGAUAAGUGCUGAAAGCAUCUAAGCACGAAACUUGCCCCGAGAUGAGUUCUCCCUGACUCCUUGAGAGUCCUGAAGGAACGUUGAAGACGACGACGUUGAUAGGCCGGGUGUGUAAGCGCAGCGAUGCGUUGAGCUAACCGGUACUAAUGAACCGUGAGGCUUAACCUUACAACGCCGAAGCUGUU